GAUGAACGCUGGCGGCGUGCCUAAUACAUGCAAGUAGAACGCUGAAGGAGGAGCUUGCUCUUUCCGGAUGAGUUGCGAACGGGUGAGUAACGCGUAGGUAACCUGCCUGGUAGCGGGGGAUAACUAUUGGAAACGAUAGCUAAUACCGCAUGACAACAGUUAUUGCAUGAUAACUGUUUAAAAGGUGCAAUUGCAUCACUACCAGAUGGACCUGCGUUGUAUUAGCUAGUUGGUGAGGUAACGGCUCACCAAGGCGACGAUACAUAGCCGACCUGAGAGGGUGAUCGGCCACACUGGGACUGAGACACGGCCCAGACUCCUACGGGAGGCAGCAGUAGGGAAUCUUCGGCAAUGGACGGAAGUCUGACCGAGCAACGCCGCGUGAGUGAAGAAGGUUUUCGGAUCGUAAAGCUCUGUUGUAAGAGAAGAACGAGUGUGAGAGUGGAAAGUUCACACUGUGACGGUAUCUUACCAGAAAGGGACGGCUAACUACGUGCCAGCCGCCGCGGUAA
rnacentral:rRNA from 1 species